GCGUCAGUGGUUUAGUGGUAAAAUCCAUCGUUGCCAUGCAUUGCCAACUUCGAUGGGCCCCGCGUUCGAUUCGCGGCUGACGCA